rnacentral:rRNA from 1 species
AUUGAACGCUGGCGGCAUGCUUUACACAUGCAAGUCGAACGGCAACGAGGAGAAGCUUGCUUCUCUGUCGGCGAGUGGCGAACGGGUGAGUAUAGCAUCGGAACGUGCCAAGUAGUGGGGGAUAACCAAACGAAAGUUUGGCUAAUACCGCGUAAGCCCCAAGGAGGAAAGUAGGGGACCUAAAUAAGGCCUUACGCUAUUUGAUCGGCCGAUGUCGGAUUAGCUAGUUGGUGGGGUAAUGGCUCACCAAGGCAAUGAUCCGUAGCGGGUCUGAGAGGACGAUCCGCCACACUGGGACUGAGACACGGCCCAGACUCCUACGGGAGGCAGCAGUGGGGAAUUUUGGACAAUGGGGGAAACCCUGAUCCAGCCAUGCCGCGUGUAUGAAGAAGGCCUUAGGGUUGUAAAGUACUUUUGUUAGGGAAGAAAAGCUAGUUUUUAAUAAAAAUUAGUGAUGACGGUACCUAAAGAAUAAGCACCGGCUAACUACGUG